GGGGGAUUAGCUCAAAUGGAGAGCGCUCGCUUUGCAAUGUGAGAGGUUAAGUGGGAUCGAUGCCCACAUUCUCCA
rnacentral:tRNA from 1 species